CCGAGUUAUACGACUCCUCAACCCUGUGAACAUACCUAACUUGUUGCCUCGGCGGGAAUCAGCCCGCUCCCGUAACACGGGACGCCCCGCCAGAGGACCCCUAACUCUGUUUCUAUAAUGUACUUCUGAGUAAAACCAGAAAUAAAUCA
rnacentral:misc_RNA from 1 species